CCUACGGGUGGCAGCAGUGAGGAAUAUUGGUCAAUGGGCUUAAGCCUGAACCAGCCAAGUCGCGUGAGGGAAGACUGCCCUAUGGGUUGUAAACCUCUUUUGUCAGGGAGCAACGCCGGCUACGUGUAGCCGGACUGAGAGUACCUGAAGAAAAAGCACCGGCAAACUCCGUGCCAGCAGCCGCGGUAAUACGGAGGAUGCGAGCGUUAUCGGGAUUGAUUGGGUUUAAAGGGUGCGUAGGCGGUAUGCCAAGUCAGCGGUAAAAGCGCGGGGCUAAACCUCGCUCUGCCGUUGAAACUGGCGUUCUUGAGUGGGCGAGAGGUAUGCGGAAUGCGUGGUGUAGCGGUGAAAUGCGUAGAUAUCACGCAGAACUCCGAUUGCGAAGGCAGCAUACCGGCGCCCAACUGACGCUGAAGCACGAAAGCGUGGGUAUCGAACAGGAUUAGAUACCCUUGUAGUC
rnacentral:rRNA from 1 species